rnacentral:rRNA from 1 species
GACGAACCGUGCGAACGUUAUUCGGAAUCACUGGGCUUAAAGCGCGUGUAGGCGGGCAGGCACGUCGGUCGUUGAAAGCCCCCGGCUCAACCGGGGAAUGGGCGCCGAUACGACCGUCCUGGAGGAACGUAGGGGGACCUGGAACUUCCGGUGGAGCGGUGAAAUGCGUUGAGAUCGGAAGGAACGCCCGUGGCGAAAGCGAGGUCCUGGACGUUUACUGACGCUGAGACGCGAAAGCCAGGGGAGCGAACGGG